rnacentral:rRNA from 1 species
GUGGGGAAUAUUGGACAAUGGGCGAAAGCCUGAUCCAGCCAUGCCGCGUGAGUGAUGAAGGCCUUAGGGUUGUAAAGCUCUUUUGUCCGGGAAGAUAAUGACUGUACCGGAAGAAUAAGCCCCGGCUAACUUCGUGCCAGCAGCCGCGGUAAUACGAAGGGGGCUAGCGUUGCUCGGAAUCACUGGGCGUAAAGGGCGCGUAGGCGGACUUUUAAGUCGGAGGUGAAAGCCCAGGGCUCAACCCUGGAAUUGCCUUCGAUACUGGGAGUCUUGAGUUCGGAAGAGGUUGGUGGAACUGCGAGUGUAGAGGUGAAAUUCGUAGAUAUUCGCAAGAACACCGGUGGCGAAGGCGGCCAACUGGUCCGAAACUGACGCUGAGGCGCGAAAGCGUGGGGAGCAAACAGGAUUAGAAACCCUGGUAGUCC